AUAAUAUAUACAUAAUAUACACAUUACUAUAUAUAUAUAUAUAUGUAAUUUUUUUUUUUUAUUUUUUUUUUUGUAACUAUAAAAAGGACUAAUGAAAACACGUUUUUCGUUUUGUUUGUCGGUAUAUUAUUAUACGUUGUCGUCGGUUAGAAAAUAUAUUUAUUAUUUUUUUUUUUUUUUUACUCGAAGAAACCGAGAAAAUAUAUUUUUUUCAAACCGCGUCGUACCUAUACCCGUGUCCUAUAUAUUAGAUACGUAUACAUAAUAUUAUAAUUUACAUUUGUUUAUUAGUCGCUAUUAUAUACAUAUUAUUAUUUUCAAUGUUUGUUGUUUCAAUAUUGUAUUCCCCACUCCCCCCUUUAACAUUACAAUUAUUAUUAUAUGUUGAGUCUGAUAUAAUAUGUUUCAGUACCUACCUAUACAUACAUAUAUAUAUAUAUAUUUAUAUAUAGUAUUAUUGUAUUAUUGAAUGUGUUUUCUAAUAUUAUAUUAUUUGAGAAAAAAAAAAACCAAACAAAUAUAAUAUUUUGAGAAAAAUAAAUAAAUAUAUACGAAUCGUCAUGGAAACAAAA